AGAACUUCACUGCUCAGCCAAGUAAGAUUCAGCAGGUUAUUGUGUGUGGGUUAUAGGUAAAUAAAUUGUCAAGUUAAUAAUUGUAGCCAUGGAAUUGACUUCCAGAUUGCAAAUUUAUAUUAUUUUUUACUACACAACUCUUAUUGUAGAGAUAAUACUGCAUACAAUCUGUAACCAGGUUUGUUAGGCUUAUCAUAACAGUUGUGAAUAAUUACUGUUAAGGCCCAAACCCAAGUUUGGUCAUUUUUCUGGUAACCAACGACUGUAUCUUUUUUUUUCUCUUUUUAAAUCUUUUUUAAACUGAAGUAGUGAUGGCCUUACCUGGGAUUGACCUUGUUCAGCAACAUCCACAAGUACAGCAACUAUAAUCAAACAUAUGGCUGCACAGAAAAAGCUGCAGAGUACUUUGAAAAGUACUUAAAUGAGCUGAAUACUAGAGGUAAGAUGGCUCAAGAGAUAAGAAACACUAUGGGGCUCUUGCAAUUCUGGAGUGGUUGGCCCUCCCUUCCAAUCACUGAAGAAAAGUUGACAGUUGCCUUUCUUGCAAAGACACCAAACAAAGUCCUGGCAGAAGCAGAAACCUCUUUUAAGGUGUUGAAGAUACCAAGAUACCACAUCAAGUUUGAAAAAUUUGUGAAAUAUAUGGAUCUUUCAAUUUCGCACAGUAAAGUGGAGUUUGGAAAGAUCUAGAUACAUCUUCAGUAGUUUCUGAAGGACUGUUCUUUAAUAAAUGUUUUUUUUUGGUUUAGAUUUUAUAUUUCAGUCAAUUCCAUGUGAAUACUCAGUUGAUUUUAAUAGUACACAUUUAACUGACACGUUUUCCUUGAUUGGUUUUUACUCACUACAACUCCAGCCCGGAUUAAUUGUGACUUACUGAAAUGGGUGACACCGCUGGAUUUUUUACAUCGAAGGCUCGGUUUAUUCCUUUGGGCAUUGCUUUCGGUGGCUGCCGAAAACGUGUCGAGUGAUUUCAGUUUUAUUCGUUUCGAAAAAGGUGAGAUAUUUUGGAAGAAGACCAAAGGAACUGCGGAAGGUACUUCAAAAGACUUGGACAAUAGUGUAAUUAAGCUACCUUGCGCGAACAGACUUGUGAUCUUGAUUAAAGAGCGUCGCAAAAGAUUUAAAAAUGGAUCUUGGACGAGUUGUUGUAAUCACUGCGAAGAGCAAAAGCGAAAAUAGUUUAUCAUUUCGAGCGCCGAUCGUUUUGUUUUGAUCCGAAUGAGUGCACUUGAAUUAAACUACUUCUUUAUUAUGUAAAUAUUGCGUGUCAUAAAUAGUGCUCGUGUUCGCGCGCUGGCGGUUCUUUCUUUCACAACUUUCGUCUUGUUCGAAUGAACUUGUUGUGAUCUGACCGUGCAUGCAAUGUUUACUUCUACUUGAAAAGACAUGUAAGCUGAUAAGUGCUUGGGUUUGAUCCGAGGUUGAUGUCUUUGACAUGUUGCCCAACACACCGGAAUGCGUAGCAAUUAUUAGACAUCAAUCAAGCAGAUUCCCGGGAUAGUUUAUUUCAUCUGUUAACAAAAGAAAAAUAUCUCACCUACAUCAGAGAAGUUGCGCUCUUCACGAUCUUCGGAAGCAUGCCGGCAUGUCGGCAAACUCAUCGGAAUGAAUAAGUAAUGAGAAAAACAAUAGCCUGAAUAUAUGAAUCCUUAACAACCUCAAUUUUUGAGGUACACAUUUAACCCGCUAUGGAGUUGUAAUGAGUUCACUGUAGCUUACAUUGUCCAAUCUGAAUUCAUUGUUUUUUUUCUUAUUUUUGUGGAAAUUUGUAUGUUACUUUUUUGGCUUAAGUGAUUUUGUUUCAUGCUAAAUGUUGAAAUUAAUUCUAGUUCACAUUUACCCCUCAUAUUAUCGCAUGUAUUCACAAAUUCCUGCUGAUUUAUUGUUCUUUUGAACAGUUGUUUUUUUUGCAAGUGUUUUCAAAGUUCCAAAUAAUUUUAUAUUGCUAAUAUACAUACAAACAGUCAAUCAGCAGCCAUCGAUGAAUGUUAUGUACUCAUGUUGAUUUUACUGAAUAACUAUUCUCUUUGUUUAUUAAUAAGAGUAAAACAAGCAAAGUCUCAUUUACAUAUAGGCCAGGCCUAGGCACUGUUACAGCCAAAUGAAUGUUUUAGACCACUUUUACUUUCAUAAGCUCCAGAAGCAGUGUUGAUCAAUUAAUGAUUAACUCAGAAUCUGCAACACUUCUGCAUAAAUGUCAACACCAUAGACUUCUGAAUCUCAUAGAGGAUUUAUGGUUCUCAGCUGUUGUUGAGCCUCUGUGGUCACGGCCAUUUCUGUCUGUGGCACCUCCACAGAUGGAGUUCCAUUGCUAGAAAUUGGGCCAUCAUUAUAAUUCUUCUGAUGCCAUAAAGUUCAUCAAUAAUCUGAAAAGGGGAGGGGCAGUGAUUUAUGUCCAAAAAUGACAAACAUGAUGAAGAUACAUCAGUUUCUGUUAUUGACUAUACCUUAUAGGUUUUUGAUUCGUCCUUUGUUUCUGAGUCACAACAGCUCAGACAAAUAUAUUUUUCUAUGUUGCAUUUGUCCUCCAGCCUCAAUGAAUUGCUCAAGUCCUUGUUAUUCCUACCAUCGUUAAAAUCUAAUUAGUUUGAUUUACCUCUGGGUUGUUAAACUCCAAUGCCACUUGUCGCUGGGACUGUGCCAAACCCAACCUACCACAAAUCCAAAGAUGUGUUGGAGGCUUCCCCUCCCCUUUUCUGUGCUUAACCCUUUAACUCCCAGAUCAAAUUUGUAACUCUCCUUACUGUCAACCCUACAAUUCUUAUAAUGUUAGUUCAGAGAAUUUAGUAUUGGAUCAACUAAUUGUCCCCAAAUUGAUAUUUUUCUUUGUUCUCAUCACUUCUUUGGUUGAUAUUUUAUUGAUAUUGUAAGGAGAAUUCUGUCUUUGGUCACUCAUGUGAGUUAAAGGAUUAAAGGAGCUCUAUUAUAUGCCU